GCCUCAUGCCAAACAACUCGUUACAAAAAGAGCUAUGGUCUCAGACCACACCGAAGCUUCAUGAGACCUCUCCUCAUCUGUGCACGGACAAGUGUCUGACUCUGGAGCCCAGGCUGUUGCUUUCCAGUCUGGUGGUGAAUCCUUCAGUCUGCAAGCCUUUCAGGAGAAAUCAAAACACAGCUGCUACAUUGUAAGUCCACAAGUGAAAUAAGGAGCGUCCAGUGGAUAACAAGAAGGCUCCCAGAAUAGCUCCUCAAAAAAUCUGCCUUCUUCCUUUACUACCAAGAAUCCUAACCUGUAGGCUCAAAGAUGAUUCAAACAUUGAGGGCAGUGGUACUUGGGAUUCAAAGUCACGUUGGUGCAGAAAGGAGUCCAUAGCAUGCUGUUGACAAUUUGACCAGGUGAAAUCUGUAACUUCACAUGUUGGCUCACCAGAGCAAUAUUAAGAGAGAUAAUCAUCAGCAACAUCCACACAAAUUGCAUUCCUUAGAGCAAACCAAUUGCAUACUUUGAAGGAUUGAGAUGUUGGAAGCUUUAUAAUGUUGAUUAUGAUGAUACCCAAGACUCAAGUUUAAGAAGGAAAGGAAGCAGUAAGAUCAUACCUGCUAUUAGUAUAGUCAUCACAGUUGUUGUGUAAAGAAAAUCUAGGUAUCUUGCACCAAGAAGUGGAAAAUACAGAAAAGAAACGAGAACCAUGUUUGUACUGGCUGUCUAUAAAAUAAGAGGGAGAAGUUAAGUGAAGUUUUCCAACCCCCAGCUGGCAUGUAAAAUUAAAUUCACAGAAAUUAAAUCCCUCCACUGAUAAAAAAGGCAUCAGGGUGUAAAAAGAAGAUUAAUCUAGCAAUCAAAUACCUCGAUGAAUGUGCAGAGUGGCUUGGAAGUGAGCAGUAGUUAAAAACAAAUGUAACAAAAUAUAAGAUGGAAUACUUUACAUCACAGUUUUGGCUGAGGUUCCAAAGACUGAGAAUAAAUCAGUAUCUGCCCAGUCACCACUGUGUGCCAAAGGAGUUGCUGGAUUGCCUCUUCAGGACAUGCUACAUGGAUGGAGAGAAGAUUCCUUGGGGAGAUUUGAUGUGUGCAUAACCAGUCCUUCCAGCACUGGAGAAAGGAGGAGGCCUGCACAGGUUGUACACGAUUCUUUCCACCUGGAAACUUGAAACAUGUGCCCUGGAGUUGAGGAUGCUUGGUUUAAUGAUACUGACCUACAAUUGAGAAGACAAAAAGGGCGAGACAUACCUUCUCGCAAGGCGAGGAUGCAUGAGUUUUCCUGUGAAGCAAGAAAGAGUUUAACAAUUCACGGUUGCACAGUAGUGCUAGCGGCUUUGCGGUUUGGUCCUCAGACCCGGCAGCCGCCACUGGUGAUAAGCUGCUAGGAAGCCCCUGUCGGCGAGCUUGUUGGAGCUUGAACCCACUGUCACCCCUCUGACUCACGGGC
rnacentral:antisense_RNA from 1 species